UGAGGAAGUUGAGCGGCGUCACCCAAGCAACGUGCCUUAUCAAGAACAUAUCUUGGAAGCACAAGCAAGAUAUGCCAAAGCUUCGCAGGGAAAAAGCUUCACAUUCUUCCAUUGCUGGCUCGAGGUGAGACAUACAUAAAAGUUCGCAAAAGCUGACAAGAGGCCAAGUAAGUCAAAAGAGAUCAACCUCUCGGUAGGAACUCAACAAGGUGACGGAACCCAAUCUCCUGCGAAGAAAGCCCGACCUCCGGGGCAAAAGCAGUCCAAGGAGAAGCUGAAAA